UGGGGAAUAUUGGACAAUGGGGGCAACCCUGAUCCAGCAAUGCCGCGUGUGUGAAGAAGGUUUUCGGAUUGUAAAGCACUUUCGACGGGGACGAUGAUGACGGUACCCGUAGAAGAAGCCCCGGCUAACUUCGUGCCAGCAGCCGCGGUAAUACGAAGGGGGCUAGCGUUGCUCGGAAUGACUGGGCGUAAAGGGCGUGUAGGCGGUUUGUACAGUCAGAUGUGAAAUCCCCGGGCUUAACCUGGGAGCUGCAUUUGAUACGUGCAGACUAGAGUGUGAGAGAGGGUUGUGGAAUUCCCAGUGUAGAGGUGAAAUUCGUAGAUAUUGGGAAGAACACCGGCGGCGAAGGCGGCAACCUGGCUCAUAACUGACGCUGAGGCGCGAAAGCGUGGGGGAGCAAACAGGAUUAGAUACCCUGGUAGUCCACGCUGUAAACGAUGUGUGCUAGAUGUUGGGUAACUUAGUUAUUCAGUGUCGCAGUUAACGCGUUAAGCACACCGCCUGGGGAGUACGGCCGCAAGGUUGAAACUCUAAAGUG
rnacentral:rRNA from 1 species